AUGGAGAUCUCCCUGGAUGCGCUGCUGGGUGUGCAGCGGCAUGGGCAGACCUGGCCUACCGCCUCACACAGGGCGUCUCGGGGCUGCUCCUCCACCUCUAGGUGCAGACGCCGCAGCUCCCGUGGCCCGCCCCGCCGCUCAAGCUCCUCCCCUUCGACAUCGAGCUCCCCGCCGCCCCCUUCGCGGUCGGCGCCGACCUCCCGGCCGUGGCCGUCGCGUCCUUCGUGGAGAUCGGCGGCCGGCUUGGGCAGGCCGGGUCCGACCUCAGCGCCUCCAUUGGUGGUGCCAUGCAGCAGCUGUCGCGGCAGCUUCCCGCACCGUUCUGCGCGCGGCGCUGGAAGUGGGAGGGGGCCGCCGCGCCGUCGACGCCCGCGGCGGCGGUGGACGAGGGGGAAGCGGGGCUCGCCGCGGAGAGGGCUUUUGAGGGCGGGGUAG
rnacentral:rRNA from 1 species